GACGAACGUUGGCGGCGUGCUUAACACAUGCAAGUCGAACGGAAAGGCCCUGCUUUUGUGGGGUGCUCGAGUGGCGAACGGGUGAGUAACACGUGAGUAACCUGCCCUUGACUUUGGGAUAACUUCAGGAAACUGGGGCUAAUACCGGAUAGGAGCUCCUGCUGCAUGGUGGGGGUUGGAAAGUUUCGGCGGUUGGGGAUGGACUCGCGGCUUAUCAGCUUGUUGGUGGGGUAGUGGCUUACCAAGGCUUUGACGGGUAGCCGGCCUGAGAGGGUGACCGGCCACAUUGGGACUGAGAUACGGCCCAGACUCCUACGGGAGGCAGCAGUGGGGAAUAUUGCACAAUGGGCGGAAGCCUGAUGCAGCAACGCCGCGUGCGGGAUGACGGCCUUCGGGUUGUAAACCGCUUUCGCCUGUGACGAAGCGUGAGUGACGGUAAUGGGUAAAGAAGCACCGGCUAACUACGUGCCAGCAGCCGCGGUGAUACGUAGGGUGCGAGCGUUGUCCGGAUUUAUUGGGCGUAAAGGGCUCGUAGGUGGUUGAUCGCGUCGGAAGUGUAAUCUUGGGGCUUAACCCUGAGCGUGCUUUCGAUACGGGUUGACUUGAGGAAGGUAGGGGAGAAUGGAAUUCCUGGUGGAGCGGUGGAAUGCGCAGAUAUCAGGAGGAACACCAGUGGCGAAGGCGGUUCUCUGGGCCUUUCCUGACGCUGAGGAGCGAAAGCGUGGGGAGCGAACAGGCUUAGAUACCCUGGUAGUCCACGCUGUAAACGGUGGGUACUAGGUGUGGGGUCCAUUCCACGGGUUCCGUGCCGUAGCUAACGCUUUAAGUACCCCGCCUGGGGAGUACGGCCGCAAGGCUAAAACUCAAAGGAAUUGACGGGGCCCCGCACAAGCGGCGGAGCAUGCGGAUUAAUUCGAUGCAACGCGUAGAACCUUACCUGGGUUUGACAUGGAUCGGGAGUGCUCAGAGAUGGGUGUGCCUCUUUUGGGGUCGGUUCACAGGUGGUGCAUGCCUGUCGUCAGCUCGUGUCGUGAGAUGUUGGGUUAAGUCCCGCAACGAGCGCAACCCUUGUUCACUGUUGCCAGCACGUUAUGGUGGGGACUCAGUGGAGACCGCCGGGGUCAACUCGGAGGAAGGUGGGGAUGACGUCAAGUCAUCAUGCCCCUUAUGUCCAGGGCUUCACGCAUGCUACAAUGGCUGGUACAGAGAGUGGCGAGCCUGUGAGGGUGAGCGAAUCUCGGAAAGCCGGUCUCAGUUCGGAUUGGGGUCUGCAACUCGACCUCAUGAAGUCGGAGUCGCUAGUAAUCGCAAAUCAGCAACGCUGCGGUGAAUACGUUCCCGGGGCA
rnacentral:rRNA from 1 species